UCGUCGGUAGUGCAGUGGUUAGCAUACGCUCCCGGAAAGAGUGAGAUCUGGGUUUGAAUUCAGGCCGACGAA